ACAUGACCGGCCUGCCCUCUAGGUCGCGCCGAGUGCAAGUCCUAGCUAUCCCUCUGUGCUCACUAGCCACUGUUUUCUAUGUACUGCCAUCUGUUUUCUCGAACUUUCUCUCCUAGUCAGAAACCAGCAGUCUUGAGUUUCCUGGGGCUCCUCUUUCUUGUCUGGGCUUUUCCAUUUCACUACCCACGAGGGGAUGGGGAACUGAAAACAGCAGUCCUACAAGUCAUCAACUCUGUGUGACGUUGGGUUUCCUGCAGUGCUACCUGUCUUGAGCAGUUCUGUGCCCUGACACAAAGCAAAUCCGGUGCUCUGUGUAAGUGAACGCAGUGGGACCACCGCGCUGACUCAUGAUCUGCGGGCUCUCUUUGGGAGCCCUGGAAGUGUCUCAGGGAGGAAAAUGAUCCCCAAACCCACCUCUCAGGUUCUGGUUCUGCUUGCUCAGACGAAUCUGAGUUCACUGAGUCUGCUGGAGCUUUCCUAAAGCUCCACUAGCCAGUAACUAACUAUGUUGCCAAUACUCCAAUCUCCACUUUCCAGGCACGCAGCCAGGUGGCAGUGAAGAGCUACAAGGGUCUUCCGUGCUCAUAAAAAUGACUGCCUCUAGCUUAAAGAUUCAGAGUAAAUUUCCACCUAUAAAAAGAAGCUGCGACGA
rnacentral:lncRNA from 1 species